UAGGCUCCGUGUCAUGGUUUCAGAGGUAGAGUUUCCAAGUGACCCUGCUCAUCCCAGCAGUAGGGGAGCUUUAAUUUCCUGGGUCCAGGAUGGUUUUCUGCAACUCUCUGAGGAGUAGAGAACAUUUACUUUUACCCUCCCACCAAUCAUUCAGCAGCUUCACCAUCCUCCAGGACUGCAACAACAAGUAUUCUCCUCUCUUUGAUGCUGCUCCUUCUCAUGGGCACACAUUGCUUCACGGAAGGCCCAUCAUCUUCAGCUGAAAUGCCAUACUCAAAGAAGACUUUCCACAAGAGCAUGAAGAAACAUCUAAAAAAGAAUGGCAGCACUCAGACCGUGUGUUUCAAGGUCCACGCCAACACAGGUUAAUGAACCCUAGAAUUACAUAAUAAAAGAGAGAGAUCCUCAGAGA